rnacentral:rRNA from 1 species
UGCAUGGCUCGGUGUGAAAAACUCCGGUGGUAUGGGAUGGGCCCGCGUCUGAUUAGGCAGUUGGCGGGGUAACGGCCCACCAAACCGACGAUCAGUAGCCGGCCUGAGAGGGCGACCGGCCACAUUGGGACUGAGACACGGCCCAAACUCCUACGGGAGGCAGCAGUGGGGAAUAUUGCACAAUGGGGGAAACCCUGAUGCAGCGACGCCGCGUGAGCGAAGAAGUAUUUCGGUAUGUAAAGCUCUAUCAGCAGGGAAGAUAAUGACGGUACCUGACUAAGAAGCCCCGGCUAACUACGUGCCAGCAGCCGCGGUAAUACGUAGGGGGCAAGCGUUAUCCGGAUUUACUGGGUGUAAAGGGAGCGUAGACGGCAAGGCAAGUCUGAUGUGAAAACCCAGGGCUUAACCCUGGGACUGCAUUGGAAACUGUCUGGCUCGAGUGCCGGAGAGGUAAGCGGAAUUCCUAGUGUAGCGGUGAAAUGCGUAGAUAUUAGGAAGAACACCAGUGGCGAAGGCGGCUUACUGGACGGUAACUGACGUUGAGGCUCGAAAGCGUGGGGAGCAAACAGGAUUAGAUACCCUGGUAGUCCACGCCGU